rnacentral:rRNA from 1 species
UACAGAGGCCCCCAAGUGUUAUCCGGAAUCAUUGGGCGUAAAGGGUGCGCAGGUGGUCAUAUUAGUCUUCUGUUAAAUCUACGGGCUUCACUCGUAGUCUGCAGGGGAAACGGUAUGACUCGAAGACAGGAGAGGUUGUGGGAACUCACGGUGUAGGGGUGAAAUCCGUUGAUAUCGUGGGGAACACCAAAGGCGAAGGCACACAACUGGCCUGUUCUUGACACUCAUGCACGAAAGCCAGGGUAGCGAAUGGGAUUAGAACCUACGU